UCUGGCUUCAACUGCCCUCUUGGCCCUGAUGAAACGUGGGAGACCUACACAGUUUCUUCCUGCGGUGGUGUAUGGGUGCGAGACAGGGACUUAGGAAGGAGCCAUUCAUUCGAAGCACAAUAAGCAGAAG
rnacentral:lncRNA from 1 species